GACGAACGCUGGCGGCGUGCUUAACACAUGCAAGUCGAGCGGAGCGGCGAACGGGUGAGUAACGCGUGAGUAACUGCCCACCUCCCUGGGAUAACAGUUGGAAACGGCUGCUAAUACCGGCUAGUGGGGGAUGACUCGCGUCCAAUCAGCGUGUUGUCGGGGCAGUGGCCUACCAAGGCUACGACGGGUAGCCGGCCUAAGGGGGCGACCGGCCACAUUGGGCUGAGAGAUUGGCCAAACUCAUACGGGAGGCAACAGUGGGGAAUAGUGCACAAUGGGGGAAACCCUGAUGCAGCAUCGACGCGUGCGGGAUGACGGCCGUCGAGUUGUAAACCGCUGUCUGCAAUGACGCGGUAGUGGCAGAAGAAGGACCGGCUAACUACGUGCCAGCAGCCGCGGUAAUAC
rnacentral:rRNA from 1 species